rnacentral:rRNA from 1 species
GCUUGUCGAGCGGCAGCGACAACAUUGACCCUUCGGGGGAUUUGUUGGGCGGCGAGCGGCGGACGGGUGAGUAAUGCCUGGGAACAUGCCUUAGUGUGGGGGAUAACCAUUGGAAACGAUGGCUAAUACCGCAUAAUCUCUACGGAGCAAAGAGGGGGACCUUCGGGCCUCUCGCGCUAAGAUUGGCCCAGGUGGGAUUAGCUAGUAGGUGGGGUAACGGCUCACCUAGGCGACGAUCCCUAGCUGGUCUGAGAGGAUGAUCAGCCACACUGGAACUGAGACACGGUCCAGACUCCUACGGGAGGCAGCAGUGGGGAAUAUUGCACAAUGGGGGAAACCCUGAUGCAGCCAUGCCGCGUGUGUGAAGAAGGCCUUCGGGUUGUAAAGCACUUUCAGCAGUGAGGAAGGCGGUAUCGUUAAUAGCGGUAUUGUUUGACGUUAGCUGCAGAAGAAGCACCGGCUAACUCCGUGCCAGCAGCCGCGGUAAUACGGAGGGUGCGAGCGUUAAUCGGAAUUACUGGGCGUAAAGCGCAUGCAGGCGGCUUGUUAAGCCAGAUGUGAAAGCCCGGGGCUCAACCUCGGAAUCGCAUUUGGAACUGGCAGGCUAGAGUCUUGUAGAGGGGGGUAGAAUUUCAGGUGUAGCGGUGAAAUGCGUAGAGAUCUGAAGGAAUACCGGUGGCGAAGGCGGCCCCCUGGACAAAGACUGACGCUCAGAUGCGAAAGCGUGGGGAGCAAACAGGAUUAUAUACCCUGGUAGUCCACGCCGUAAACGAUGUCUACUUGGAGGUUGGUGUCUUGAACACUGGCUUUCGGAGCUAACGCGUUAAGUAGACCGCCUGGGGGAGUACGGUCGCAAGAUUAAAACUCAAAUGAAUUGACGGGGGCCCGCACAA